GUGCAGCAGUCGCGAAAACUCCGCAAUGCACGAAAGUGUGACGGGGCUACCCCGAGUGCCGUCCGCUGAGGAUGGCUUUUCCUCGGUGUAACUAGCCGGGGGAAUAAGGGGAGGGCAAGACUGGUGUCAGCCGCCGCGGUAAUACCAGCUCUCCGAGUGGUAGGGAUGAUUAUUGGGCUUAAAGCGUCCGUAGCCGGCUUAGCAAGUCUCCUGUUAAAUUCAGCGACCUAAUCGUUGAGCCGCGGGAGAUACUACUAGGCUAGGAGGCGGGAGAGGCCGACGGUACUUCCGGGGUAGGGGUGAAAUCCUAUAAUCCCGGGCGGACCACCAGUGGCGAAGGCUGUCGGCUAGAACGCGCUCGACGGUGAGGGACGAAAGCUGGGGGAGUGAACCGGAUUAGAUACCCCUGGAGUCC
rnacentral:rRNA from 1 species